rnacentral:ncRNA from 2 species
GGGGAAGUCCGGUGAGAGUCCGGCGCUGACCCGCAACGGUGUGCGCGACGGCCUCGCGGUCCGCCGCGCGAGCCCGAUCGCCC